rnacentral:misc_RNA from 1 species
AAGUCAUCUUCUUCCCUUUCCCACUCCAUAGCCGAACCACCAUUCUUCCUCACCUUCCACCAUUUUUCUUGUUUUCAAGUUUAAUUUUCUUAAGCUUUCUCAUCCCAAAACCCUAAACCAUCUUCACAAAAAUUAAUCCUCACGUCAAGAGGAAUAUUUUGAUGAUCAAAAAGUGAAGAAAUUUCAAGGUUUAUACAAGUCAAUAAUUAAACUACAAAGAGGUACAGGAGACCCACAGCAGUAGCAAUAGAGCCUAAACGAUACUUGAGCAGAUCUGCUACAGUGU